AGUGUAGACAGCAGCAAGGGUGUGCCCGCAACUGGUUAGAUAUUGACCACACCCUGAGAACUUGGGGUGUGGCUUGGAGUUCUGGUAAUCUCUACCCAGGCUCUGUUGUCAAGGAAAGGCUGCCCACUGGCUCCUCCUUCAGCCCGCUUGGUGGAUAAAUGGCUUACUUCCGUUGGGUUGAUUCAUUCAGGACAUGAAGUUUCCAAGACAACUGCCAUCUUCGCAUCUCAAUCUGUUCUCAGCUGCAUGCCAGGUUUUGCCGUACAUAUUUCAAAAAGACA